UACGGGGGGUGCGAGCGUUGUCCGGAAUCACUGGGCGUAAAGGGCGCGUAGGUGGUUUGAUAAGGGUGUGGUGAAAGUCCGGGGCUCAACCCCGGAUCGGCCGUGCGGACUGGGGAGCUCGAGUUCUGUAGAGGCGGGUGGAAUUCCGGGUGUAGCGGUGGAAUGCGUAGAGAUCCGGAAGAACACCGGUGGCGAAGGCGGCCCGCUGGGCAGAGACUGACGCUGAGGCGCGACAGCGUGGGGAGCAAACGAGG
rnacentral:rRNA from 1 species